rnacentral:rRNA from 1 species
UACAGAGGGUGCGAGCGUUAAUCGGAUUUACUGGGCGUAAAGGGCGCGUAGGCGGUUUAGUGAGUGUGAUGUGAAAGCCCCGGGCUUAACCUGGGAAGUGCAUCGCAAACGACUGAACUGGAGUAUAAGAGAGGGUGGCGGAAUUUCCGGUGUAGCGGUGAAAUGCGUAGAGAUCGGAAGGAACGUCAAUGGCGAAGGCAGCCACCUGGCUUAAUACUGACGCUGAGGCGCGAAAGCGUGGGGAUCAAACAGG